UACGUAAAAAACUAACGUUGUCCGGAAUCAUUGGGCGUAAAGAGCGUGUAGGCGGCCCGGUAAGUCCGCUGUGAAAGUCAAGAGCUCAACCCUCGAAUGCCGGUAAAUACUGUCGAGCUCGAGUACAAAAGAGGCGAGUGGAAUUCCUGGUGUAGCGGUGAAAUGCGCAGAUAUCAGGAAGAACACCUAUUGCGAAGGCAGCUCGCUGGGACGUUACUGACACUCAGGGACGAAAGCGUGGGGAGCGAAAGGG
rnacentral:rRNA from 1 species